GACGAACGCUGGCGGCGUGCUUAACACAUGCAAGUCGAACGGAAAGGCCCUGCUUUUGUGGGGUGCUCGAGUGGCGAACGGGUGAGUAACACGUGAGUAACCUGCCCUUGACUUUGGGAUAACUUCAGGAAACUGGGGCUAAUACCGGAUAGGAGCUCCUGCUGCAUGGUGGGGGGUGGAAAGUUUCGGCGGGUGGGGUUGGACUCGCGGCUUAUCAGCUAGUUGGUGGGGUAGUGGCUGACCAAGGCUUUGACGGGUAGCCGGCCUGUGAGGGUGAACGGCCACAUUGGGACUGAGAGACGGCCCAGACUGCUACGGGAGGCAGCAGUGGGGAAUAUUGCACAAUGGGCGGAAGCCUGAUGCAGCAACGCCGCGUGCGGGAUGACGGCCUUCGGGUUGUAAACCGCUUUCGCCUGUGACGAAGCGUGAGUGACGGUAAUGGGUAAAGAAGCACCGGCUAACUACGUG
rnacentral:rRNA from 1 species